rnacentral:rRNA from 1 species
AUUGAACGCUGGCGGCAGGCCUAACACAUGCAAGUCGAGCGAGCGGCGGACGGGUGAGUAAUGUCUGGGAAACUGCCUGAUGGAGGGGGAUAACUACUGGAAACGGUAGCUAAUACCGCAUACCAUCAGAUGUGCCCACAUGGGAGUAGCUAGUAGGUGGGGUAACGGCUCACUUAGGCGACGAUCCCUAGCUGGUCGGAGAGGAUGAUCAGCCACACUGGAAGUGAGACACGGUCCAGAAUCCUACGGGAGGCAUCAGUGGGGAAUAUUGCACAAUGGGCGCAAGCCUGAUGCAGCCAUGCCGCGUGUGUGAAGAAGGCCUUCGGGUUGUAAAGCACUUUCAGCGGGGAGGCGUUACCCGCAGAAGAAGCACCGGCUAACUCCGUGCCAGCAGCCGCGGUAAUAC